CCUACGGGAUGCAGCAGUGAGGAAUAUUGGUCAAUGGACGCGAGUCUGAACCAGCCAAGUCGCGUGAAGGAUGACUGCCCUCUGGGUUGUAAACUUCUUUUAUAAAGGAAUAAAACGAGGCACGUGUGCCUUUUUGCAUGUACUUUAUGAAUAAGGAUAGGCUAACUCCGUGCCAGCAGCCGCGGUAAUACGGAGGAUCCGAGCGUUAUCCGGAUUUAUUGGGUUUAAAGGGAGCGUAGAUGGGUUGUUAAGUCAGUUGUGAAAGUUUGCGGCUCAACCGUAAAAUUGCAAUUGAUACUGGCAGUCUUGAGUACAGUUGAGGUAGGCGGAAUUCGUGGUGUAGCGGUGAAAUGCUUAGAUAUCACGAAGAACCCCGAUUGCGAAGGCAGCUUACUAAACUAUGACUGACAUUGAUGCUCGAAAGUGUGGGGAUCAAACAGGAUUAGAUACCCGAGUAGUC
rnacentral:rRNA from 1 species